UUAAUGAUAGUGUGACGAAUCACACUAUCAUUAACUGAAUCCAUAGGUUAAUGAGGCGAACCGGGGGAACUGAAACAUCUAAGUACCCCGAGGAAAAGAAAUCAACCGAGAUUCCCCCAGUAGCGGCGAGCGAACGGGGAGGAGCCCAGAGCCUGAAUCAGUGUGUGUGUUAGUGGAAGCGUCUGGAAAGGCGCGCGAUACAGGGUGACAGCCCCGUACACAAAAAUGCACAUGCUGUGAGCUCGAUGAGUAGGGCGGGACACGUGGUAUCCUGUCUGAAUAUGGGGGGACCAUCCUCCAAGGCUAAAUACUCCUGACUGACCGAUAGUGAACCAGUACCGUGAGGGAAAGGCGAAAAGAACCCCGGCGAGGGGAGUGAAAAAGAACCUGAAACCGUGUACGUACAAGCAGUGGGAGCCUCUUUUAUGGGGUGACUGCGUACCUUUUGUAUAAUGGGUCAGCGACUUAUAUUCUGUAGCAAGGUUAACCGAAUAGGGGAGCCGAAGGGAAACCGAGUCUUAACCGGGCGUUAAGUUGCAGGGUAUAGACCCGAAACCCGGUGAUCUAGCCAUGGGCAGGUUGAAGGUUGGGUAACACUAACUGGAGGACCGAACCGACUAAUGUUGAAAAAUUAGCGGAUGACUUGUGGCUGGGGGUGAAAGGCCAAUCAAACCGGGAGAUAGCUGGUUCUCCCCGAAAGCUAUUUAGGUAGCGCCUCGUGAAUUCAUCUCCGGGGGUAGAGCACUGUUUCGGCAAGGGGGUCAUCCCGACUUACCAACCCGAUGCAAACUGCGAAUACCGGAGAAUGUUAUCACGGGAGACACACGGCGGGUGCUAACGUCCGUCGUGAAGAGGGAAACAACCCAGACCGCCAGCUAAGGUCCCAAAGUCAUGGUUAAGUGGGAAACGAUGUGGGAAGGCCCAGACAGCCAGGAUGUUGGCUUAGAAGCAGCCAUCAUUUAAAGAAAGCGUAAUAGCUCACUGGUCGAGUCGGCCUGCGCGGAAGAUGUAACGGGGCUAAACAUGCACCGAAGCUGCGGCAGCGACACUGUGUGUUGUUGGGUAGGGGAGCGUUCUGUAAGCCUGUGAAGGUGUACUGUGUAUGCUGGAGGUAUCAGAAGUGCGAAUGCUGACAUAAGUAACGAUAAAGCGGGUGAAAAGCCCGCUCGCCGGAAGACCAAGGGUUCCUGUCCAACGUUAAUCGGGGCAGGGUGAGUCGACCCCUAAGGCGAGGCCGAAAGGCGUAGUCGAUGGGAAACAGGUUAAUAUUCCUGUACUUGGUGUUACUGCGAAGGGGGGACGGAGAAGGCUAUGUUGGCCGGGCGACGGUUGUCCCGGUUUAAGCGUGUAGGCUGGUUUUCCAGGCAAAUCCGGAAAAUCAAGGCUGAGGCGUGAUGACGAGGCACUACGGUGCUGAAGCAACAAAUGCCCUGCUUCCAGGAAAAGCCUCUAAGCAUCAGGUAACAUCAAAUCGUACCCCAAACCGACACAGGUGGUCAGGUAGAGAAUACCAAGGCGUGAGAGAACUCGGGUGAAGGAACUAGGCAAAAUGGUGCCGUAACUUCGGGAGAAGGCACGCUGAUAUGUAGGUGAAGUCCCUCGCGGAUGGAGCUGAAAUCAGUCGAAGAUACCAGCUGGCUGCAACUGUUUAUUAAAAACACAGCACUGUGCAAACACGAAAGUGGACGUAUACGGUGUGACGCCUGCCCGGUGCCGGAAGGUUAAUUGAUGGGGUCAGCGCAAGCGAAGCUCUUGAUCGAAGCCCCGGUAAACGGCGGCCGUAACUAUAACGGUCCUAAGGUAGCGAAAUUCCUUGUCGGGUAAGUUCCGACCUGCACGAAUGGCGUAAUGAUGGCCAGGCUGUCUCCACCCGAGACUCAGUGAAAUUGAACUCGCUGUGAAGAUGCAGUGUACCCGCGGCAAGACGGAAAGACCCCGUGAACCUUUACUAUAGCUUGACACUGAACAUUGAGCCUUGAUGUGUAGGAUAGGUGGGAGGCUUUGAAGUGUGGACGCCAGUCUGCAUGGAGCCGACCUUGAAAUACCACCCUUUAAUGUUUGAUGUUCUAACGUGGACCCGUGAUCCGGGUUGCGGACAGUGUCUGGUGGGUAGUUUGACUGGGGCGGUCUCCUCCUAAAGAGUAACGGAGGAGCACGAAGGUUGGCUAAUCCUGGUCGGACAUCAGGAGGUUAGUGCAAUGGCAUAAGCCAGCUUGACUGCGAGCGUGACGGCGCGAGCAGGUGCGAAAGCAGGUCAUAGUGAUCCGGUGGUUCUGAAUGGAAGGGCCAUCGCUCAACGGAUAAAAGGUACUCCGGGGAUAACAGGCUGAUACCGCCCAAGAGUUCAUAUCGACGGCGGUGUUUGGCACCUCGAUGUCGGCUCAUCACAUCCUGGGGCUGAAGUAGGUCCCAAGGGUAUGGCUGUUCGCCAUUUAAAGUGGUACGCGAGCUGGGUUUAGAACGUCGUGAGACAGUUCGGUCCCUAUCUGCCGUGGGCGCUGGAGAACUGAGGGGGGCUGCUCCUAGUACGAGAGGACCGGAGUGGACGCAUCACUGGUGUUCGGGUUGUCAUGCCAAUGGCACUGCCCGGUAGCUAAAUGCGGAAGAGAUAAGUGCUGAAAGCAUCUAAGCACGAAACUUGCCCCGAGAUGAGUUCUCCCUGACCCUUUAAGGGUCCUGAAGGAACGUUGAAGACGACGACGUUGAUAGGCCGGGUGUGUAAGCGCAGCGAUGCGUUGAGCUAACCGGUACUAAUGAACCGUGAGGCUUAACC
rnacentral:rRNA from 1 species